UUUGAGGCCCUCAAUGAUGCAAUUGCCUGUUCUACUUUGUACUGGUCAACUUGUAAAUCUGCUGUGUCUGUUUCUCUGUCUCCCACACAGAAAGAACUGUUUCAAGUUCCCGGCUCCUAUCCCCAUGUCUCACUGUCUAAAGGACGCCUUGACCAAUGGAGGGAUUUGGGACCAUUUGUGGCUGAGUGUGAAUCUCUCACUGACUGGGAGGAGACAAUCGAUCCGCUCGUUCUGCGCUCCGCCUCUACAGGGUUUCACAGAACUCACUGUGUACACUGUUGCGUAUUUCUCAGCUAAACUCGACCCUGUCGCUGCAGGACUGCCACAAUGUUUGCGCGCUGUGGCCGCGGCUGAAAAGGCGCUCAUUGCCUCACGUGACAUAGUGGGUUACGCACCGUUCACUCUGCUCGUUCCGCACGCGGUUUCUUUGAUUCUCCUCGAACAGAAAUCAUCUCACCUCUCUGCGGCUCGCUAUUUGCGUUACCACACGUGUCUCCUGGACAUGCCGAAUGUCACUAUAAACGUUGUACUAACCUUAACCCUGCAUCAUUACUUGCUAUUCCUGGGGAUGGGGAGGACCACAACUGUUUGGCUGAGCUCCAAGCUCAGUGCACUCCUCGCCCUGACCUAGUGGACGCUCCACUAACUAACAGCGACAUGGUAAUGUCCUCUGCCAUGUCACCUCUCAGCCCAGGCAGCCGAGCUCAUCGCUCUGACCGAGGCCUGUAAACUGGCUAAGGGUAAAACAGUCACAGUUCACACUGACUCUCGCUUUGCGUUUGGUGUAGUACAUGAUUUUGUGGUGCUGUGGAAACACAGGAACUUCCUUAAAUCGGACGGUAAGCUCAUCCUACAUCACACUCUCAUUGCUGAACUGUUGGAAUCCAUCUUGCUACCCACAGCUAUUGCUGUCUGUAAAUGUGCAACACACACGUCCAAUACGGAUGAUGUAUAUAUGAUGCUCGAGCAGACUCUGCUGCAAAAGCUGCUGCUCUGCUUCCCACUACCUGUGCUCUAGUGUGCUCUGAGGAGUCAGUUCCCUCCUCUCUCACAGCGAUGCAGUCACUCUCUACCCCUGAUGAAAGACGGCUUUGGUCCACAUCUGGCUGUGUUUACACCAACGGUAUCUGGACUGGACCCGACGGCAAGCCGUGUUUACCUAAACACUAUUUUGCUCAUUAUGCUAAGUUGACUCAUGGGUUAGACCAUGUGUCAAAAGGGGGAAUGUUAUGUGCACUUAAUAAGACGUGGUUUACAAAAGGGUUGACAGCAUAUGCACAAAAAUUCUGUUCUGCAUGUGUCACCUGUUCUACUCACAAUGUAGGCAGGCCCGUGGGCGUGUCCAGCCAGGCUGCACACCCACCACCAACCCGCCCGUUUGAGCACAUUAUGAUGGAUUUUGUGGAGUUGUCUCCAUCACAAGGUAAGAAACACUGUCAAGUGAUGGUGGACAUGUUUUCCAAGUGGGUGGAGGUUUUUCCA